CCGUGCUAAGCGGGGAGGUAGCGGUUCCCUAUUCUCGAAAUCCGCUUUAUGCGAGGUCGAAUUCCUUUGUCGCGGAUAUGUAUUUGUGAAGUCUGCCCAGAGCACGAGGUGUUUGAAGAUUUCGGUCCUAUGCAAUAUGAACCCAUGAACCAUGUCAGGUCCUGACGGAAGCAGCAUUAAGUGGAUUCUCAUAUGUGCCGUAGGGUAGCCGAGAUUUAGCUGUCGACUCUGGUAACGUUUGUGAUGCGUAUUCUACACAAAGGUGCACGG
rfam:Staphylococcus sp. HGB0015 genomic scaffold aczIz-supercont1.2, whole genome shotgun sequence.